rnacentral:rRNA from 1 species
UGCAGAGGGGGCGAGCGUUGUUCGGAAUUACUGGGCGUAAAGGGCGCGUAGGUGGCCUGUUAAGUCGAACGUGAAAUCCCCGGGCUCAACCCGGGAACUGCGUCCGAGACUGGCAGGCUCGAAUCCGGGAGAGGGAUGUGGAAUUCCAGGUGUAGCGGUGAAAUGCGUAGAUAUCUGGAGGAACACCGGUGGCGAAGGCGGCAUCCUGGACCGGUAUUGACGCUGAGGCGCGAAAGCCAGGGGAGCAAACGGG